GUGAGGAAUAUUGCGCAAUGGAGGCAACUCUGACGCAGCCAUGCCGCGUGCAGGAAGAAGGCGCUACGCGUUGUAAACUGCUUUUAACCGGGAAGAAACCCCAGGACGUGUCCUGGGUUGACGGUACCGGAGGAAUAAGCACCGGCUAACUUCGUGCCAGCAGCCGCGGUAAUACGAAUGGUGCAAGCGUUAUCCGGAUUCAUUGGGUUUAAAGGGUGCGUAGGCGGAGCGUUAAGUCAGUGGUGAAAUCCUGCAGCUUAACUGUAGACUUGCCAUUGAUACUGGCGCUCUUGAGUGCGCUUGAAGUGGGCGGAAUGUGCCGUGUAGCGGUGAAAUGCUUAGAUAUGGCACAGAACACCAAUUGCGAAGGCAGCUCACUAAGGCGAUACUGACGCUGAGGCACGAAAGCGUGGGGAUCGAACAGGAUUAGAUACCCGAGUAGUCC
rnacentral:rRNA from 1 species